UUCCGUAGGUGAACCUGCGGAAGGAUCAUUAUCGAAUAAACUUGAACAGGCUGUUGCUGGUCUUCUCAGGGAGAUUACGUGCACGCUUGUCUCAUCUUUGUUAUUUCUCCAACUGUGCACCUUUUGUAGACCCUGGAGCUUUAUGAAUUUUCUGAAAAUUCGAGUCAGGACUGCUGUUUCAGCUUUGCCUUGCAUCUCCAGGUCUAUGUCAUUUUUCACAACCGCUCAAUAUGUUUAGAAUGUUUGGAAAUAUAAAAUUGAAAUAUACAACUUUCAGCAACGGAUCUCUUGGCUCUCGCAUUGAUGAAGAACGCAGCGAAAUGCGAUAAGUAAUGUGAAUUGCAGAAUUCAGUGAAUCAUCGAAUCUUUGAACGCAUCUUGCGCUCCUUGGUAUUCCGAGGAGCAUGCCUGUUUGAGUGUCAUUUAACUUCUCGACCAACAUCAGAUGAUGUUGGCUUGGAUGUGGGGGCUGUUUUUGCAGGCUUUUUCUUGUAGAAGGUCGGCUCCCCUGAAAUGGAUUAGUGGUAUCUGAGGCUACUACUGUGGGUGUGAUAACUAUCUAUGCCUUUGGUAUGCCGCAUGAACAGAUUACACUGCUUCUAAGGACUACCCGCUGA
rnacentral:rRNA from 1 species